AUCGAAUGGAAUUAUUAAGAUAAAGAAAAAAAAGAAAAUUAAGUAAAUGAUUAAAUUUAAAAUUGUGAACGUUACACACUACAUGCCAUCCAGGUAUUUAGAAACUACAGUGCUUUAUUUUUUGUAUGAUAUAUUAUAUCUCUAUUAAUAUUAUAAAGAAAAAAAUUUAAUUAUAGCUUUCCAAGUUUAGGUCGACACGGGGCGCGAAUCGCACGUGAGAUAUCAAAUGGUUUUUCGGUGUGAAUGAUAUACGAUUGAUAUUUUCGUUUUUUUAUUAUUUUCGCGAAAAACUUGAGAAAUUUAUGAAAAUUUAAGAAUCCAAUGGACGAGUUAUUAUUUGUACGUAUGUGUGAUUUAUUUCGAUAAUAUUUUGACGACGAGAAAAAUUAACUUAAACGUUACUAAUCUUUUGGCCGUACUCCUACGCGGGUUUAUCCGUUGUUAAUAUUUCCAAGUGAAUGUGGUAUGUCUGUAAGAUAUAAAAAUUAUGCUAAAUGCGUGUAUAUGAGAUUAGUGGGGAAAAAAUGGUAGAAGGAGAUUGAGCGAGAAGUAUAGGGAAAAAAUUGCGAUUAUUAAGAGACAAGCUGACGAGCCUAAUAAAAGAAAUCUGCGCUGAAAGAAAUUAAAAGUUACGAGAUGAGAGAAGAGAGAAAAAAGCUUUGAGAAAUUGAAACUCUAACGAGAUAAGAUAUUAUAUUCUAUAUAUUAUAUUUGAGAUGAAAGUGAAAAGGAAAUUUUUGUGAUGACGGCAUAGGGAGCAUAGACAUUAUUUUUUAAUUUCCGAUAACGUCGUCUCCAAAUUUUAUGAUAUUACAAAAAAAAAAAAAACGCGAAAAUUGUAACUGUCCUUUGUAACGAACCGCACGCGAGAAACGUGGCUAGGCCCGGAAAUCGAAGUUAUUUCAAAAUUAAAAAAAAAAUUAAGACCCAGAAACUCAGACGAGCAAAGUCAAAAACUUGCAUACAGACUUUUCGAAAUAGCAUAAAAUUGUUAUGGAAUAAAAAAAAAUAUAUAUUACGCGGAAAAAAAAAGCUAUGCUAAAGAAAGUUCUUUUGUCCAACAUAACUUUUCAAAAUAGUACGUCACUCUGUUUACGUGCUAAGGUACCGUACUAAAAAUUCAAAGAUUAUUUGAAUAUAUCAAAAAAAUAAAAUUUAAUUCUUCGUCGUAACGUGCACUCGUGUAAAUUGAAUCCUGAAAGGAAUUUAGAAAAAAAAUAUGACCGUUACCCAAUAACGUCUCAUUAGACGUACCUGUGUUUCAGUGUUCAUAAAACUCGGACCUAUUUCGAAACUCUAGAUAAAACGCCCGGCCACGCGUCUCUCGUCAGCAGAACGAGAGAGAAAGAGAGAGAGAGAGAGAGAGAGAGAGAGAGCGAAAGCGAGUUAAAGAAUGCGUGAGUGUGAUAGUGUUCAAGAAUAAGAGAGAAUUAAGUGCGAGAGCGAAAGAAAGCUUGAGAAAACCGAGCUAUUAUUAAUAAGAGAAAAAAAUAUAGGUUAGUUCGCGCGGACGAUCGUAAGUUCCCGUUACGUUUUACGUAAGUUGGAAAUAUUUCCGAUCGUCCUAGGCAGUUAGCAUUACGUAACGUAUCCGAGAUAAAAAAAAACAACAACAGUAGGUUUUGAACCAAGAGAGCCUUGUGUUAAGUGCCUUCAAGUACGACUUAGAUUUAGGCUAGAACAGAGGCGCUGGGCGCGUCCAGCUGUGAAACAGAUUUACUGUAUUAAAUAACCAGACCCAGCCGCCAUUUUGGGUAGGAAUGCCCCUUACCGUCAUACCCCAUUUCAAACGUAAUUCAUCCCUUAAAAGAAAUGAAAUCCACAAGGAGACAAAAUUCGAGACGAGAAAACGUGACGUCUACCGUAGGAACUGUCAAUUCCUACCGUAGAAGCGGGAAUUUUAAAUAUUCGCCGGACGAGAAAUUUUGUAAGCAAAAAAAAUCCCAAGAUACGUUUUUUCGAUUUCAUCGAAUUUUUCGAAAAUAUAUUUUAUCUCCGAUAUAAAUCCACCCCUUGGAUUUCACGACGAUUCAAGGUGGUUUUCCAAGUGUGAAUUUUCUUCCCCUUACCUCUACUCCACCCUUCUUCGUCCUUCCCCGUUUUUUAUAUAUAUAUAUACAUACAUAUAUAUUUAAUACCGGUAGAUCCGGUUGACUUUGUUUAGGCAUCGCGAAACUGGUUUUCGCGUAAUUUCUCUUGAGAAACUUUUUGGCUUUACGUUGCGAUUUUAUUAAAGACGUUGCUCGGGUGUGCAGCUAAGACCACGAGUGGAACGAAAAAGAUGAAAAAAAUAAAAAUAAAGAAAAUGAAAUUCCAUUAGAAAAGUCCAAGCGGAGAUACCAACGACACUGGGUAUAUAUAUAUUCAACGUACACAAUUCUUUAGUUUUACGUUCUCGUAUCCCUUGCUUGUGGCUCUGCCCAAAGUGGCCCGGGUCAAUUUCUCGAAACCAGUGAUAUUUUAGAAAUUAUUUAUUUACGCAGAACAGAAACAAUAAUCUCAAGCUACUCACACUCACCUCUACUGCCAAUAUCUGCUUAGGUACUCUUUUUUUAUUCCUUUUACCUUCGUAUUGCAUCCCAGUUUCUUCCACUUUCUAUUUUUUUAAGCCACAAUGUGAUUCCUCCCUCUCGAUCCAGUUAUUUAUUUUACCAAAACUUUCCUCUUCAAAGACUCUCACCCAGUCCUCGUCCUUUUGUUUUUUUGUUUUUCUUUUCCUCGAUUUUUCACCCUAUCCAGAAAAAAAACCACCAGUACAAUUGUUCUUAAUAAUAGUGCACAUAACCUCUACACGUCGUAUCGAGCUCGCGAAUGGCCGAUAACGACGUUUAGAAAAAAAAAAAUGCGAUGUGCGAGAAAUCAAAAAAAAAAACUUCACUCAUAAAAAAAAAGAAAGAAAAUCAACGUUCAAAUUUAUAUGUAAAUUUGAAAAAUAUUUUUUUUUUUUAAAUCAUUUAACAUACACCGCAAUGUUUCUUUCAGACUUUCAGACUUAACGCAAUCAAUAUCUCGCACUCGACUUUAUGCACGGUAACUUUUAGUACAAGAUCAUAAUUAAUUGUCGACUGUACAGCACCGCAAGAUGAACCCAUUACAGUAACAAUUACAACUUCCGCUCAGCGCCUCGAACACAAAAAAUACUUGUAAUCAUAAUUCUUUUCGCCAUGUAUUUGCCAACGAACGAUUAUUUUUUUUUUUUCAUUUUAUAUUAAUAUUAUUUAGAGAACAACAUUAUUAACGACUACGCUAUUAAUAACGAUAAUCUUUCUAGAUACUUUUUUGCUUUUUUGCGAGACAUCGGUAGACACGUAUUUGUGUCACGUCAUACAUAUAUAUAUAUAUAUACAUACGUAUUUCCGAAACUGUUCACCCAUACAUACACAAAUCCAAAAGACAACAAGCAUAUUUUACAUACGUCAUACGACACGUGGAUAUUCAUACGUAUAUUUGUACAUACGUAACAAAUGCAUACGAGCAUACAUGAUACUUAUUACACUUUAUACGACGUACAGAAUAUGCAUAAUGUACAGCCUGUGUACAUUAUGUAUAUGGAAUUGAACUUUGACCCCUGCGCUCAUUACACUGGCGAAUACACCUACUUUAUUAUAUAUUAUCGACUAUUGGCUUUAUUGUAUCCGAGAAAAGAACGCUUGCUUAGUGAAAUACAAUGGCAGAGGGGAUGAGACCACGGCUUUAUUUUUGGCGUAUUGUGCUCGCGAAAUUAAUGCAUUUCAUUGGCUCUUUUGCGAGACUGUGAAAUUCAUUAUUUUAAUCCAAUGGGAAUUCACGUUAAACGAGCAGAAUCGCAAUCCUUCCGGCGUCCAUCCCUCGUUUCCACUGUGUUACGUAUCGAGUUUUUUUUAGAACAUUCCAAAAUGUUUAACAAUUUUUUUCUUUUUGUUGUCGUCAACUUGUAGAAAGCCUUGUAUUCGAUUUAGAGCAAAAUAAAGUCUAGAAAGGCA